AUGACCUGUGGAGGAAUGCGUGUUUCCAGAUGUAUGAACGCAGACAUCCGGGACAGCCUAUACAGCGAGACUAACGUUUCCCAGCAUGCCUCGGCUGUGGAGCUGUAUGAGGAAGAGCUGUUUGUCCUGCUGCCCUGUGAGUUUCCCACUUUUGAACUGGACAGCCCCACAGUGGUGUGGAGUCGCUCCGACCUCAGUCCUCCAACCGUCCACCAGCUUCAAGGAGACGAACUGAAAGAUCCAAACCAGCGUUACAGCGGCCGAACAUCCAUGAAGACUGACGCUCUGGAAACUGGAGACCUCAGCCUGAACCUGACCAACCUCCACCUGUCUGACAGCGCCACCUACACCUGCUCCGUCAGAUCAUUUAGACUGAGAGAUGUCCCACUGCAGGUCAAAGAACCAUUUCCAUCCUGGGCCAAAGCUCUGUUGGUUCUCCUGGUUCUCCUAGUUUUCCUGGUUCUCCUGGUUCUGUUGGUUCUCCUGGUCCUCCUGGUUCUCCUGGUUCUCCUGGUUCUUGUUCUCAUCGUCUCUGGAGGUCUUUUAUUUCAUUUCCGGCACUAUUUUAAGUCAGGUGAGUGUCUCCUACUACACUAUCCAUAAUGCAGAUGGUUAGCAGGUAGGGGUGGGUUUUGAUUAGUGAUUGAAAUCGAUUCUAGCUUGGAUAUCGUCAUAUUGAUUCAUUAAAAUCCUGAAUCGAUUUUUAAAUAUAAAUGUAUUUUAGCUGAAACGCCUGAAUCUGAGGUUAAAGCUCCCACAGUUUCAACAACCAUCAAACAGCUGAAACAGUAACUGAGAGCAGGAACACGGAUUCUGCACAAAGACGCAUCAGAACCGGCCGACAAAUGCGAUCCUCCUUUUCCCCAGAUUACCCUUUCUUGGUCACAAAAUAACCUUUUAAGAUAUUUUCAGGCGAGAAUGUAGCUGUGUAAUGCUCAAAUAUCUACUUAAUUUAUCAAAAUAUCACAUAUUUGCAAAAGUGUUUCCACGUUUUCGGAGAGCUCUGUUAUCCACCAGCACGAUAGCUGACCGGAGGUCAAGGCUCGAUAGAGUCCGGGAGCACAGAUAACUCCUGGCGUUUUGUUUUCAACCCCCCUGCACUCUUUUGCUACUCAGGUUAAACAUGACAUAUACAGUUAGUUAGUUAGUUAGUUAGUUAGUUAGUUAUGGCUAUGGAUUGAAAAUACCGCCCAUACCCCACCCCUAACGGCUGCAUCUCCCGAAGAAUUUUGUCUGGGCUCUUAUCUCACUUUUUUAUUUCAAACAAUCAGCAGAAAAUUUCACAGACAUAGUUUUAUAUAAGGUUUUUAAGGCUGUGGUGUUAAUUUUUAAGUAACAUGAGCACAGCGGCAGCAGCAACACUAGGCUAACACUAACUAGCUAGCAAGAUUAUAAAACUGGUGCUAAACUAAGAGAAGCCACAAAACCAGUUUGAAUAAGAGUAAACAAGUGUUUACAUGCCCUGGAGGACGGGGCAGUGGCCCCCCACACCCUCUAGCAGAUCAUUACAUGAAGGAACCUUUUAAAAACAAGCGCGUUCAUGCUCACAGGUGCACACACGGGUGAUCACACACACAAACUACACCCUUUUUGGCUCCUACCUCAAAGCACACUGUGCGCUGUCGAUCCUACGUGCUGCACAAUAAUGUUUAAUAUUUAGUAUUUACUGUCAUAUUCCCAUAUAUCAUUGUGAUGUUGUUUAUUACUCUCGUUUUCUUCUGCUUGCUUUCUUUUUUUCUUUCUCAACAGGUGAUCCAGGUGAUCGAUAUAUGUAUUUUUUGUCUGCUUAUUCUGUUGGUUUUUGGUUUUUGCCCUUCUCCCCCGUCCCUCUUCUCAGCUGUUUUUCUUUCCCUCUUUCUUUCUCCCCUUUCUUUCCACCAGUCAAGUCUGUCCCGUAUUCAGCAAGUCAAAAUAAAAUAAACAAUAAAAGGUGAAUCAAAUGGACCAUUACGGCAAGGCUGGGAUGGUCCAUUUGGUAAAGUAAAUCCGUUGGGCAUCUUUCUUCGCCUUUAGACAAUAAUUCUGAUGGCAAAAGAACCAAACGGGACAGGUUUAAAAAAAAAAAAAAAAAAAAAAAAAAAAAAAAAAAAAAAAAAGAGUAAACAAGUGUCAUGGUGCUGGGUCGUUGACCCAGCGUUUUGUGUUUUAUGAUUAUUUUCCUUUGUUCUAGUUAUUCUGAUUUUGGUAUUAAUUCUUGUGCUUGAGUGUUGUAUCAGCCCUACCUGAGCCUGUCCUCUGUGCUCUCUUCGGGUCCUUGAGUUUUGUGUUGUAAAGCUAGCCCUGUCAUCUAUGCAGUCUCCGUCUUCACCGACUCCCUCUGUACAGGAGGCUGUGUCUGUGCCUCCCAUUUUGGAUUCUUUUUCUAGUAUGGAUUUUUUGCAGAGAGACAAACACGUUAAAAAUGUAAUCGUUCCUCAACUGCUGGCUAGUUUAGAGACUGUUACUUGCUAUAGGGCCUCACCAGAGGUUAACUUACAGCCCUCAGCUGACUCUGGACCCCUGGAGACUGAAAACCCAGCUGAGGACUACACCCGGCUGUCGCUGCCUGAGCAGGGUCGGUGCUCCGCGCAGCUGCAGUCUGUUCUGUGUUUGCCAGAGGCCCGUGUGUCUGCUGGUCCUGUUCUGUC
ensembl:lncRNA